CGCCCUGUGUGGCUGGUGGCCACUGUUCCUAGUGGUGGAAGAAGAAAAAGAAGAGAGCAAGAAGACUCAUUUAGAGAGACCACAACGGUGAAGAACCAUAUACAAAGAACACCAUGGGAAACAUUGCUGGUGCACUCAAGUAUGAGGACGCUAACAUUGACAUGAAGGAGUUCCUUGUGCAACCCGACACUGUUGGCGAUGAAGGUGAUACUAAUCGCCGGUUGGCCCCCAUAGCAGGUGCAGGGGACUCUCCUCACUUGGAACAGAAGAGGCCGGAGUCCUUCUCAGUGCUGGUCCAGGAACUUGUGGCUUCCUCCCCGCAACCUACAGCAACGCAACAGCGGGUUCGGGAAAGGCAGGAAGCGUCUUGUACCUGCCAUGUCUUUUCUGAGGAAGCUGCAGAGACGCAGGAAGGGACGGAAGAACUGGGAGACGUGUUGGCUCAAAGUAGGGAGACACUGCCUCCUGGGACACCACCGCAGCAACAGUCCACCGUGGUGCUGGAUGCGGAGUCACCACGUGCCAUCAACCCGGGUCCCAGCCGGUGCACCUUUCUGCUACGUGGUCUCCUGGUGUCCAUGGUUGUGCUUCUACUGAGCUCGGGGGUCUUGGUCAGCAUAACAUGGCGUCUCAUCCAGGAGCCCCUGGGCUCGCAACUCGUUCGCAACGCGUCGUCCUUAUUGAGGCUCUUGCUCAACGACACCGCACUGCCGGUUGCAAACGGCUCGGACACUUCUGAAGCAUCUAUUACAGAGACUUUUAUGACAUUGUAAGGAAGAGAAGCCUGAGGUCAUCGCAUAAUACUCCUCGUCUUUUGUCUCGUAGUCCUUGGGCUAGCUUGUAUUGAACAGGACGUGCCAAGGGAAAUGUACUGACAGCCAAAAGAAAAAUGCUCAGUACCUGGCACAGAGGUGUCAUUAGCAAACCACAUUUGUGUGAUCAUGUGGUUGUGCUACUCCACAACCCACACCAGAUGAAUGCCACAUCGCAGGAGGAAAUGCUGAGCGACAGGCGUCUGAAGGUGAAGGAAAUCUCAGAAAGGCUGGGGCUUUCCAAAACAACCGUU